rnacentral:rRNA from 1 species
GAUGAACGCUGGCGGCGUGCCUAAUACAUGCAAGUCGAGCGAACGGACGAGAAGCUUGCUUCUCUGAUGUUAGCGGCGGACGGGUGAGUAACACGUGGAUAACCUACCUAUAAGACUGGGAUAACUUCGGGAAACCGGAGCUAAUACCGGAUAAUAUUUUGAACCGCAUGGUUCAAAAGUGAAAGACGGUCUUGCUGUCACUUAUAGAUGGAUCCGCGCUGCAUUAGCUAGUUGGUAAGGUAACGGCUUACCAAGGCAACGAUGCAUAGCCGACCUGAGAGGGUGAGCGGCCACACUGGAACUGAGACACGGUCCAGACUCCUACGGGAGGCAGCAGUAGGGAAUCUUCCGAGAGGGGCGAAAGCCUGACGGAGCAACGCCGCGUGAGUGAUGAAGGUCUUCGGAUCGUAAAACUCUGUUAUUAGGGAAGAACAUAUGUGUAAGUAACUGUGCACAUCUUGACGGUACCUAAUCAGAAAGCCACGGCUAACUACG